rnacentral:rRNA from 1 species
GAUGAACGCUGGCGGCGUGCCUAAUACAUGCAAGUCGAGCGAACAGAUGAGGAGCUUGCUCCUCUGACGUUAGCGGCGGACGGGUGAGUAACACGUGGAUAACCUACCUAUAAGACUGGGAUAACUUCGGGAAACCGGAGCUAAUACCGGAUAAUAUAUUGAACCGCAUGGUUCAAUAGUGAAAGACGGUUUUGCUGUCACUUAUAGAUGGAUCCGCGCCGCAUUAGCUAGUUGGUAAGGUAACGGCUUACCAAGGCAACGAUGCGUAGCCGACCUGAGAGGGGGGACGGCCACACCGGAACUGGGACAAGGGCCAGACUCCCACGGGAGGCAGCAGGAGGGAAUCUUCCGCAAUGGGCGAAAGCCUGAAGGAGCAACGCCGCGGGGGUGAAUAAGGGCCUCGGAUCGGAAAAAUCUUUUAAUAGGGAAAAACAAAUGUGUAAGUAAAUAAUCAAGGUUUGAAGGUAACUAAUCAGAAAGCCACGGCUAACUAAGUG